CGAACGCUGGCGGCGUGCUUAACACAUGCAAGUCGAACGGAAAGGCCCCUUUAGGGGUACUCGAGUGGCGAACGGGUGAGUAACACGUGAGUAACCUGCCCUUGACUUCGGGAUAACUUCAGGAAACUGGGGCUAAUACCGGAUAGGAAUCCUUGCUGCAUGGUGGGGGUUGGAAAGCUUCGGCGGUUUUGGAUGGACUCGCGGCUUAUCAGCUUGUUGGUGGGGUAGUGGCUUACCAAGGCUUUGACGGGUAGCCGGCCUGAGAGGGCGACCGGCCACAUUGGGACUGAGAUACGGCCCAGACUCCUACGGGAGGCAGCAGUGGGGAAUAUUGCACAAUGGGCGGAAGCCUGAUGCAGCAACGCCGCGUGCGGGAUGACGGCCUUCGGGUUGUAAACCGCUUUCAGCAGGGGCGAAGCUUGUGGUGACGGUACCUGCAGAAGAAGCACCGGCUAACUACGUG
rnacentral:rRNA from 1 species